ACCCUAGCUUUAUAGACGACAAAGGCCGGCUUCGAAUCGCCCCCUACCAUGAUUUCACCAAGUCUUCCCAUGGAUGCCCCCUUUGCCCCCCGAACAUGUGCAAGAGCAAAAUCGUGGAGCGGAUUCGCGCUGGGGAGAAGAAGAG